rnacentral:lncRNA from 1 species
UAUUUAAAAAUAAAAAAAAAAAAAACAACCGACCGUCAUUAGCAUAAGUGGUAAAAAAUUUGGCGAUUGAUAUUCGAAGUUUUAAGUUCGAAUUCUAAUUGAUUCACAUUUCCGGCUAAAUUUAUUUCUAAAUAAAAUUAAAAUAGAGCUAACAAUCAUUAUUCGCGAAUUAGCUCAUUUAUUAGACAAGAUGUUCGACUCAAAAUGGGUUUUUUGAGUUGAGAUCAAAUCGCUUGUAUUCACUUCAAUGUAGCUCAAAUAUAUAUUCGUACUGUAUAUAAAAACACGUAUUUUAAUUUGGGUAUAUCGACGGACUUACUUUUUAUGCUUUGUUAUCGAGUAAUUCUAUAUUGUAAUCUUAAGCGUAUUCAAACCAAGCUCGAUUGAGCGAAAUAAUAUUUAGGUUUAGCUUUUAGUAAAUUUUGUAUGUUUAUGCUCAUUCUAUUUAAUUUUGAGCCAUUUAAUUAUUGUGAUAUGCGAAAUGUGAUAUUACGUAGGAGAACAGAUAUGAAAUUUGGUCAUUAUACUUUUUCAUCGUACAUAACGCAAUUUCCUCGCAAUCCUAAACGAAAUCUAUAUCUUAACAUUUUAAAGACUAAGAUAUAC